UACGAAGGGGGCGAGCGUUGUUCGGAAUCACUGGGCGUAAAGGGCGCGUAGGCGGUUUUGUAAGUCGGAUGUGAAAGCCCAGGGCUCAACCUUGGAAGUGCAUCCGAAACUGUGAAACUUGAGUCCCGGAGAGGGUGGUGGAAUUCCCAGUGUAGAGGUGAAAUUCGUAGAUAUUGGGAGGAACACCGGUGGCGAAGGCGGCUCACUGGCCCGAUACUGACGCUGAGGCACGAAAGCGUGGGGAGCAAACAGG
rnacentral:rRNA from 1 species